rnacentral:tRNA from 1 species
ACCAAAAUAGCUCAGUUGGUAGAGCGUUAGACUAUAGAUCGAAAAGCCCGUGGUUCGAUCCCGGGUUCCGGCA